AUUGAACGCUGGCGGUAGGCCUAACACAUGCAAGUCGAGCGGAUGAAGGGAGCUUGCUCCUGGAUUCAGCGGCGGACGGGUGAGUAAUGCCUAGGAAUCUGCCUGGUAGUGGGGGAUAACGUCCGGAAACGGGCGCUAAUACCGCAUACGUCCUGAGGGAGAAAGUGGGGGAUCUUCGGACCUCACGCUAUCAGAUGAGCCUAGGUCGGAUUAGCUAGUUGGUGGGGUAAAGGCCUACCAAGGCGACGAUCCGUAACUGGUCUGAGAGGAUGAUCAGUCACACUGGAACUGAGACACGGUCCAGACUCCUACGGGAGGCAGCAGUGGGGAAUAUUGGACAAUGGGCGAAGGCCUGAUCCAGCCAUGCCGCGUGUGUGAAGAAGGUCUUCGGAUUGUAAAGCACUUUAAGUUGGGAGGAAGGGCAGUAAGUUAAUACCUUGCUGUUUUGACGUUACCAACAGAAUAAGCACCGGCUAACUUCGUG
rnacentral:rRNA from 1 species